rnacentral:rRNA from 1 species
UACGUAGGGUGCAAGCGUUUAAUCGGAAUUACUGGGCGUAAAGCGUGCGCAGGCGGUUUUGUAAGUUUGUUGUGAAAUCCCCGGGCUCAACCUGGGAACUGCAUCUGUGACUGCAUUGCUGGAGUGCGGCAGAGGGGGAUGGAAUUCCGCGUGUAGCAGUGAAAUGCGUAGAUAUGCGGAGGAACACCGAUGGCGAAGGCAAUCCCCUGGGCCUGCACUGACGCUCAUGCACGAAAGCGUGGGGAGCAAACAGG